GUAAUGCAUAGGAAUUUACCCGGUAGUGGGGGAUAACCUGGGGAAACCCAGGCUAAUACCGCAUACGUCCUACGGGAGAAAGGGGGCUUCGGCUCCCGCUAUUGGAUGAGCCUAUGUCGGAUUAGCUGGUUGGUGAGGUAAUGGCUCACCAAGGCGACGAUCCGUAGCUGGUCUGAGAGGAUGAUCAGCCACAUCGGGACUGAGACACGGCCCGAACUCCUACGGGAGGCAGCAGUGGGGAAUAUUGGACAAUGGGGGCAACCCUGAUCCAGCCAUGCCGCGUGUGUGAAGAAGGCCCUCGGGUUGUAAAGCACUUUCAGCGAGGAAGAACGCCUGUCGGUUAAUACCCGGCAGGAGAGACAUCACUCGCAGAAGAAGCACCGGCUAACUCCGUGCCAGCAGCCGCGGUAAUACGGAGGGUGCAAGCGUUAAUCGGAAUUACUGGGCGUAAAGCGCGCGUAGGUGGCUUGAUAAGCCGGUUGUGAAAGCCCCGGGCUCAACCUGGGAACGGCAUCCGGAACUAUGAGGCUAGAGUGCAGGAGAGGAAGGUAGAAUUCCCGGUGUAGCGGUGAAAUGCGUAGAGAUCGGGAGGAAUACCAGUGGCGAAGGCGGCCUUCUGGACUGACACUGACACUGAGGUGCGAAAGCGUGGGUAGCAAACAGGAUUAGAUACCCUGGUAGUCCACGCCGUAAACGAUGU
rnacentral:rRNA from 1 species